rnacentral:rRNA from 1 species
AACUUGUGCUAAUACCGAAUGUGCCCUUCGGGGGAAAGAUUUAUCGCCAUUAGAGCGGCCCGCGUCUGAUUAGCUAGUUGGUGAGGUAAAGGCUCACCAAGGCGACGAUCAGUAGCUGGUCUGAGAGGAUGAUCAGCCACAUUGGGACUGAGACACGGCCCAAACUCCUACGGGAGGCAGCAGUGGGGAAUCUUGCGCAAUGGGCGAAAGCCUGACGCAGCCAUGCCGCGUGAAUGAUGAAGGUCUUAGGAUUGUAAAAUUCUUUCAGUAGGGACGAUAAUGACGGUACCUACAGAAGAAGCCCCGGCUAACUUCGUGCCAGCAGCCGCGGUAAUACGAAGGGGGCUAGCGUUGCUCGGAAUUACUGGGCGUAAAGGGAGCGUAGGCGGACAUUUAAGUCAGGGGUGAAAUCCCGGGGCUCAACCUCGGAAUUGCCUUUGAUACUGGGUGUCUUGAGUAUGAGAGAGGUAUGUGGAACUCCGAGUGUAGAGGUGAAAUUCGUAGAUAUUCGGAAGAACACCAGUGGCGAAGGCGACAUACUGGCUCAUUACUGACGCUGAGGCUCGAAAGCGUGGGGAGCAAACAGGAUUAGAUACCCUGGUAGUCCACGCCGUAAACGAUGAUUGCUAGUUGUCGGGAUGCAUGCAUUUCGGUGACGCAGCUAACGCAUUAAGCAAUCCGCCUGGGGAGUACGGUCGCAAGAUUAAAACUCAAAGGAAUUGACGGGGGC